AAGGAAUAUUGCGCAAUGGACGAAAGUCUGACGCAGCAACGCCGCGUGCAGGAUGAAGGCCCUUUGGGUUGUAAACUGCUGUAGAAAGGGAAUAAUAGUUUGCCACGGGUGAACUUGAAGGUACCUUUAAAGUAAGCGCCGGCUAACUACGUGCCAGCAGCCGCGGUAAUACGUAGGGCGCAAGCGUUGUCCGGAUUCACUGGGUGUAAAGGGUGCGCAGGCGGAUUGGCAAGUCAGAGGUGAAAUCUCACGGCUCAACCGUGAAACUGCCUUUGAUACUGCUUAUCUUGAGUUCGGGAGAGGUUGAUGGAAUUCCAGGUGUAGCGGUGAAAUGCGUAGAUAUCUGGAAGAACACCAGUGGCGAAGGCGGUCAACUGGCCCGCAACUGACGCUCAUGCACGAAAGCGUGGGGAUCAAAC
rnacentral:rRNA from 1 species